UUGCUUGCAGGUUCUGACAUUAAGUCCUAAGUAUGGUUUAGGUACCGGAUUAGGCUUGGUGUGUAUUUUGUUAGUGUAGGCCUGACGUUGGCCUGUAUGUGUUUAAGGGAUUGCUUGUGAAGGGUGGUGGAUAUUAAAGCUAUGCGGUAUCAUUGGUUAGCCGAUCAUGUUCUUGUUUGAUUGUUGGUCGACCGGCUCAUGAU
rnacentral:lncRNA from 1 species